GCCGGGCAUGGUGGCGCAUGCCUGUAAUCCCAGCUACUUGGGAGGCUGAGGCAGGAGAAUCCCUUGAACCUGGGAGGUGGAGGUUGCGGUGAGCCGAGAUUGCUCCAUUGCACUCCAACCUGGGCAACAAGAGCGAAACUCUGUCUCAAAAAAAAAAAGAGAUGAGGUCUUGCUCUGUCACCCAGGCUAGAGUGCAGUGGCAUAAUUAUAGCUCACUGCAGCCUUGAACUCCUGGGCUCAAGUGAUCCUCCUGC
rnacentral:lncRNA from 10 species